ensembl:lncRNA
CUUUCAAACUGAAAGAAUUUAUAAUCUAAUUUAUUAAUAUUCUCUGGAAAAGACAAAGAUACAACAGUAUGCCUGUUUAGAAAGUAUUUCAUAACUCACUCAGGGGAAAAACCUUACCUCAUUUCGGGAAAAAAUUGGGAUUUUGCCCUGUCGUUAUGUGCUAUUUUCCGUAGUAUUUUUCCAGUAGUACUUCUCCAAAUCAAGCUAGGGACAGUUCAGCUUCAAGUUUUAUUGACAUUUUUUGUGGGCAUGAAAUGCUUUUUUUAAUACCUUACUUUAACUCAUUUUGUGUAUUUCUAUGGGAUUCCUAUUUCUUUUCUGAAGAAAGGAGAAAAAGUCAUUAACUUAGAGAAGUUCAGACUUUUCAGAAGGUCAUGAAUCUGACAAGCCAGAAGCAAUGGAUCCUUCUCCAUCUGCCUUUUAUUUCCAGCACAUUUAUACAACCUUCAAGUCUUUGUUUUUCAAAUCUCAGGGAGAGCUACCCAUCCUGGAGUCAAUUGAUGGUUAUCAGGAAGGUGUUUUCAGCUAUUUUCAAAAUACCUUGCAUCUAUGGAACGUGUGUGUAUUUUUGGGUAAUGGCUACUGGACAUCUCCUUGCUUCCUGGUUAUGCCAGGAGUGCCUUUUUCCCUUCAGUACGAUUCCUUCAAACAUUUUGAUGCUUAGGAAGCUAAAUGAGAGAUGGAUUCCUGGGUCAAAGGCAUAUGAGCGUGUUUCCUCACUGGAGAAGCUGUUCAGGAAGGGCUGCAGUCACAGAAACUCAUAG